CUCUCAUCUCAGAUCACGUUCACCUCUGCUCAGCAGAUCUCUCUCAUCUCAGGCCAGAUCUCUUUGCUCAGCAGAUCUCUCUUAUCCCAUCCCAGAUCUCUGUCAUCCUUCUCAUCUCUGAACGCUCUCUAAUUGACGACGAAGAAGGACGAACGAGGACAAACGAUGGCGAAUGUUAGCAAACCACAGCGAACGAUACAAAACCUGAAGUAAACCUAUGAGAAGAUUCGAAAUAUGAGAUUACAGAACUAUGACUUCUUCUUCUACUAAAAAUAGUAACAGAAGGUUAAAACCUAGAUUGUGAGAUUGUGGGAGAACAACGGUGAUGUAUAUUGUACGAACGAAUGAGAAUGGAAACCAAGGACGUUUGUUCUUUGUUUGCCCAUCGAAAUAUAUAAGUAUGUAUUAUAGAAAUUGGUCUUUUACUAUGUACAAAGUUAAUUUUGUGAUUUGAUUGACUAUUUCUUAUGCAUUGUAAAGUUAUAAGAAAUACUAUAAUUACUUCAAAUUCGUAGAUGAGGAUGAUGAUGACACUAGCUCCACAAUUCGUUCUAAUGUUGGACCUUAGAAAACUAUAAGAAUAGAAGAAGUAAACGAUCUAACGACAAGGCUUGGUGAGAUGGACAAUGAAAUUCAUGAGCAUGGUAGAAGGAUUCAAAUGAUGGAGAAGAACUUCAAAGCAAUGAUUUAUGUGAUUGUGUUUUGUUUGUUUUUGCACUUUAUCAUGUAAAUGACUGACUCUCUGUCGUUCUGGCGAAUUUCAUAGAUGUAAUCAAAAACUUAUUUUGUAUUUUGUAUGUUUUUGGACUUAAUGAUGUAAAUGACUUAGUUAGGUUUUGGGAAAUGUCAUGAAUACCUGCCCUAUAUAUUUUGUGUUGUAUGUGGAUGAUUUUGGAGGGUACUAACGAAUGUGAGCCUUCCAGGUUUUAUUAUUCAAUUUUUCUAGAAUUAAUACAAAUGUGACUUGAGGCUU